CACCUCUUGACAUAAUAUAAGAGGCCCAGCCUGCCCGGUGACAAAGUUUAACGGCUACGGUACCCUGACCGUACGAAGGUAGCAUAAUCACUUGUUCCUUAAAUAGGGACCUGUAUCAACGGCAUCACGAGGGCUGCACUGUCUCCUCUCUUCAAUCAGUGAAACUGAUCCCCCCGUGAAGAAGCGGGGAUUAAGCCAUAAGACGAGAAGACCCCAUGGAGCUUUAAACAAGUACUCACACUAUACUUACACGUCCCUUAACUAAAAGCCCUGAGUACAAGUUUUAGGUUGGGGAGACCGCGGAGAACAAUUAAACCUCCACGACAAACGGCCCUUAAGUCCUUAUCCACGAGCCACAGCUCUAAGAAUCAAUAUACUGAUGAUUAUGACCCGAUACUAUUCGAUUAAUGAACCAAGUUACCCUGGGGAUAACAGCGCAAUCUACUUCAAGAGUCCAUAUCGACAAGUAGGUUUACGACCUCGAUGUUGGAUCAGGGUAUCCUUGUGGUGCAGCAGCUACUAACGGUUCGUUUGUUCAACGAUUAAAACCCU
rnacentral:rRNA from 1 species